GAGUUUGAGCAUGGAUCUCGAGGAACGCUGGCGGCUUGCUUAGGACAUGUCAGUCAAACGAGGUCGACUGAUUACCAAUACAAGGGAAGAUAUAGUGGCGAACGGGUGAGUAUCACGUGAGAAACCAACCCCGGUCUCUGGGAUAACAGUUGGAAACGACUGCUAAUACUGGAUGUCGUCGUACCCUCGCAUGGGGGGAUGACGAAAGGGUUACCGGAUCGGGACGGUCUCGCGGCCUAUCAGCUUGUUGGGGAGGUAACGGCUCACCAAGGCUUCGACGGGUAGCUGGUCUGAGAGGAUGAUCAGCCACACUGGGACUGAGACACGGCCCAGACUCCUACGGGAGGCAGCAGUGGGGAAUCUUGCGCAAUGGGCGAAAGCCUGACGCAGCAACGCCGCGUGCGGGAUGAAGGCCUUCGGGUUGUAAACCGCUUUUAACAGGAACGAAAAUGACGGUACCUGUAGAAUAAGGUGCGGCCAACUACGUGCCAGCAGCCGCGGUGACACGUAGGCACCAAGCGUUGUCCGGAUUUAUUGGGCGUAAAGAGCUCGUAGGCGGUUCAGUAAGUCGGGUGUGAAAACUCUGGGCUUAACCCAGAGACGCCACUCGAUACUACUGUGACUAGAGUUCGGUAGGGGAGCGGGGAAUUCCUAGUGUAGCGGUGAAAUGCGCAGAUAUUAGGAGGAACACCGGUGGCGAAGGCGCCGCUCUGGGCCGAUACUGACGCUGAGGAGCGAAAGCGUGGGUAGCAAACAGGAUUAGAUACCCUGGUAGUCCACGCCGUAAACGGUGGGCACUAGUGUGGGCUCCAACCAACGGAGUCCGCGCCGUCGCUAACGCAUUAAGUGCCCCGCCUGGGGAGUACGGCGCAAGGUUAAAACUCAAAGGAAUUGACGGGGCCCGCACAAGCAGCGGAGCGUGUU
rnacentral:rRNA from 1 species